rnacentral:lncRNA from 1 species
AUAAUUCUCUGAAGUAUUUUUACAGCUCCACUUUAGAGAGAUGCAAAUCAGUUGAUUUGUGUGUGUGUGUCUGCAGCUGAUGACCUUUGCACUGAAGUCAUACCAGGAGCAGUGCAGCUACCAUCAGCUUUGCUGCUGAUCUGAAUGCAUUUUGUUGGUGGCAGGAGCCCAGUGUUGUGCCUACUCUUUCUCAGGGAAGGAAGAGCCCCAGUGUGUGAUUAGGGCGAUGCUGACCCAGGAGUUCAGUCAGUGCUGCCCUGGACUUCCUCUCUGCCCUUGGGGUGAAUGCUCAGAGAAACAACAUGCUGGUGCUGCUGCUCCUGGACAUAGCUCAGGCAUUAAAGGAUGUGUCUUUUUGGCUACUGCUCUGCUGGAGCUGAAACUUUCCCAAAACUCACAGCUAAGCAGUUCAGUGUGUGUUGCGUGGGACAGCUACAGAAUUCCAAUUACUGCAACAGGACUGUUUUCUUGCAAAUUUGUGUGGGCGCACAGUCAUGAGAUGUGUGAGGGACCACAGUAUACUGCCUACAAACAAAUGGCUGCAGUGCAUGAAAUUGUCCAGGGACAUUAUCCUACACUGGAAGGAAAGUGUAUGCAGGUUUGAUGCUGAACGAAAAAUGGGCAGCUCUCUAGGAACAGUAUGCUCUAACAGUUGCUUUGCUGCAGAGGGAUUUGUGAAUUUUAUGCGUGCGGUUACUUGGUUUUAACAAAGUUGGUCUCUCUGGGACCUGUGUUCUUACAAUCAGCGUAAUGAGCACUUAUGACACAGGGAAAAUUUAUAACAACACUAAGAAGCUGCUCAUGGUUCUUGUAAUAGCCUAUGAGACUGUAUAAUGAGACCUGCAUUUGAAAUUACUGUGGACUCAGCCCUCACAUAUACAGGUUACAGUGACCACUCCCUCUAGUUGUUAUCUCUGUGAUGUCACAGAGGAGACAUGGGUGUAUCACGUCUCCAGGGCACUAACUUGGUUUGAUCUAUAGUCUGUGAAUCUAGGAGAAGUUGACUACUUCCCAAAUGCUUUACAUGAGAUGGAAACAGGUGCUUUUCAUUGCCUUAAGUCUGUUCCAUGACCAAAGACAAGAAGACACUAAAUAAACAUUGUUGAGUUUGCA